rnacentral:rRNA from 1 species
UUAUUUGAAACGGGACACAACCCCUAAUACUGGGUUUAAUCUAGAUAUACUAAGUAAAGUGGGCCUAAAAGCAGCCAUCUUCUGAAAAGCGUUAAAGCUUGACAUAUUAACAUCUACAAUUCCUUAAUUUUUACUUAACCCUUUAUCACUACUGAACUAUUUUAUACCCCCUAUUAAAGUUAUUAUGCUAGAACUAGUAACAAGAAAUUGCUUUUCUCCUAAAUGUAUGUUUGAACCAAAAUGGACCCUCCACUGGUGACUAACGCAAAUGAAAAUAUCAUAGUACCACAAGGCUAGAAAACCCUAUGCCCUCAUAACGUCAACCUUACACUAGAGCAUUACAGGAAAGAUUAAAAGAGAAAGAAGGAACUCGGCAAAUCACAGUCCCGCCUGUUUACCAAAAACAUCGCCUCUUGACUAAAUAUAAGAGGUCCAGCCUGCCCAGUGACAUAGUUUAACGGCCGCGGUACCCUAACCGUGCGAAGGUAGCAUAAUCACUUGUUCUUUAAAUAGGGACUCGUAUCAACGGCAUCACGAGGGCUGUACUGUCUCCUUUCUCCAAUCAGUGAAACUGAUCUCCCCGUGAAGAAGCGGGGAUAAACCU